rnacentral:rRNA from 1 species
CCCCUAGAUGUUCUGGGCCGCACGCGCGCUACACUGAACAGUUCAACAAGUCUUAACCUUGGCCGAUAGGUCUGGGUAAUCUUUGAACGCUGUUCGUGAUUGGGAUAGACCUUUGCAAUUAUGGGUCUUCAACGAGGAAUUCCUAGUAAACGCAAGUCAUCAGCUUGCAUUGAUUACGUCCCUGCCCUUUGUACACACCGCCCGUCGCACCUACCGAUUGAAUGGUGCGGUGAAAUCUCGGGACGGCGGCUUGGUCGCUUGCGUCCGACUGCUGAAACUUGAUUAAACCAUAUCAUUUAGAGGAAGGUGAANUCGUANCA